GUGCGCGCGCGCAUACGUUCCUACAAGUGUGGAGCCAGAGAACAGUUCUAUGGAAGCACUUUCUUUCCACCUUUUGAACCACGUGGGAGACUCUUACACAUGAACAAGUUUGCCAUGAGAUGCAGCCUUCCCCCCUCCUCCGUAGACUGAAGGGUGUACGCUGGAGAUUUCACAGACUGGAUACCUGUCUCCUGUCCCUCCUGCCACCCUAGCUACUGCCUCCUGCCUCCGGCUACCUGCCUCCCACCUCCCGCCUCCCACCUCCUGCCUCUGAGUUUAAGGGCAGUGCCUGAGUUGGCACCAUUGGUGGUGGGCAUUGCAUUCAGGUUUUAUGAACAGGAUCCCACUUACUACAAACACCUCCUGAGUCAAAGGCCCACGUCAAAGCUUCCAUGACGGAUCUGCUUUUGAAGAAACCCGAGUCAAGCAAAUUCUCUGCUCCGACAGUGGUUUGUCCUAUCCUGGUCCUGGAACCGGUGGUUCCUUCUACACUUCUGUGCUUGCAAAGCUACCAACCAGGACUUGGAAGCAUAGACUAGUUUGGGGCUUACAAGACUUUUUCUAAAUCCUUCCAGAAAUCUACUCGCCGCAGUCAACAUUACACUACCAUAUUGGAAAUGUGAACAGGCUCAGAACACCCACAGGCCCAGCCUCCCACUCUGAGACCUGCGGGGAAGGGGAAACUUCAGCAUAGACUGGGAUUAGAAGCCCCCGCAUUCAUCUUGUGAUCAAAGAAGAUCACCAGUCUCAAGCCCUGCGGGCAGCAGCGCAUCCUCCUCCUGAUCCAGCCUGCCGACAGUUUGCCCAACAUCACUUCCACGGGAUUCUUGUCAAAUGUAUCCCCUUCAUCUAACCAUGGGAAACAUCAAACCAGCUCAGACUGGAGAACUGUCUCCACAAAGGGGACCUCAACAGGAUGAAAGGCAAGGAAAGACGUCUCAUUAAGGGAAGAAGCCUAAAGAGCCCAGACAGUAAGAUGGAAAGCAGGAUUUUUGACAGGAAGACACAAAUGUGGCAUGGGUUCAGUAGGCAUUGACACUUUGACUCUGGGACUGAAUAAACCUACCACUGGCCAUGAGCAGGAUGCUUAUGUGGG